ACUUAAAUUGAAGAGUUUGAUCAUGGCUCAGAUUGAACGCUGGCGGCAGGCCUAACACAUGCAAGUCGAGCGGUAGCACAGAGAGCUUGCUCUCGGGUGACGAGCGGCGGACGGGUGAGUAAUGUCUGGGAAACUGCCUGAUGGAGGGGGAUAACUACUGGAAACGGUAGCUAAUACCGCAUAACGUCGCAAGACCAAAGUGGGGGACCUUCGGGCCUCAUGCCAUCAGAUGUGCCCAGAUGGGAUUAGCUAGUAGGUGGGGUAACGGCUCACCUAGGCGACGAUCCCUAGCUGGUCUGAGAGGAUGACCAGCCACACUGGAACUGAGACACGGUCCAGACUCCUACGGGAGGCAGCAGUGGGGAAUAUUGCACAAUGGGCGCAAGCCUGAUGCAGCCAUGCCGCGUGUGUGAAGAAGGCCUUCGGGUUGUAAAGCACUUUCAGCGGGGAGGAAGGCGGUGAGGUUAAUAACCUCAUCGAUU
rnacentral:rRNA from 1 species